AUGGAAAUUAGCUUAGGUUAUACAUUUUACAGUAAUUUCAUUUUAAAGACUUCUCUCUUUAUACAAAUUUCCACAUAAAAUUGCAUCAUUUCAAUAUUUCUUACAUUGCAGACAAUAAUGUGGCCCUCACAUGCAGCGAUGAUGGCUGUUCUGAUACUGGUGGUAAGUGUUACCUGCUCACUAGUAGAACCGUUGGUAUACUGUCUCAUGAAUAAGCAGCAUUUAUGAUAAACUGCCUAAAGUAAUGUAUGUGACAUUGACUAAUAUAAGACACUGAUGUUAGCCUGUUAGCUUGGGUUCCUAAUGGUAAAAUGAACUGGGUGGCAUGUUACAGCCAAAUACAUGCUGUUGGCCGAGUUCAGUGCUCAGUAAUCUAUACAACAGAUAACACUUGAUCAUGUACACUCAUGUCAUAGUGAGCUCUUCUAUUACAGCAAGAAAUAGACUGAAAAACACAUGAAAUCUGCGGGUAAAAAGUCACAGGUGAAAGUCCCAUAGCAGCUACUCAGAGUGAUCUUCAGGGAAAUGAGGAGGAGGAGGAGAAAGGAGGAGGCAGUGAGAUGGAUGAAGACGGAAGUUCUCAGCAUUUCGCAGAUGUAGAUGAGAUCCCCUGUGCGAAGGUCAAGAGGCCACGGAGUGAAGCAGAGAAGACGGCAGUGCAAAGACGGCUGGGAAAAUUUGUCGCAGAGCUCAAAGUUCCAAAAAACGAACACUGCAUGAAAUGCUUAGAAGUGCAAAAAGACCUAGCUAAUUGCUCAUGGAAAGAUAUUAAAAACUUUGUGUACAACACGAUUGUCACUCUGAAUCGAAGGUCUGCUUGUAAAGAACUUUUUUAAAGACCUCUUCUAAAAUAUGUUUAUCUUGAUAAUGUUAAGACGUUAUUUAAGUUUUAAGAUUUCAUUUUGUCUUCUCAUGUUUGGUUUGUGACUGACUCUGCAACAGUAUAUAAAAUGACAUGCAGAGGCUGGGGACCCUUAGUCAAAAUUUGUGUGAAUGGCGAGCAAAUGGGAUGUGAUUACCAAAAGUGCAGAAAGAUGGAACAUUUCCUUUAAUAAUUUAAGCAAUAUUACUCUAUUUUCAUCUUUUAUAACUUCAAAAAAAGAAGAAGGUUUUGGCACACACGUUCAAUACUUAUUAGGGUCCCCUUUGUUAUUAUCACAGCAUUUGAAAGCUUUUGUAGCAACUGCGAGUCUGAUUUUAAUUUGAUUGGUUUUAUGUUUUGGAGUGGUGAACUGUGAGGGCGAUGGAAAUACCUUUACCUAGUGUCUUUUGAGGUAACCCGUUUUGGAUUUUAAGUUCUAGGUUUUUGCCCAGGAUGUUUUUGGUUCGUUUAUUUUAUAAUCUGUUAAGUACAUUAAGUACACUGUUCCAAAAAAUAGUAA